rnacentral:rRNA from 1 species
UACGGGGGGGGCAAGCGUUGUUCGGAAUUACUGGGCGUAAAGGGCUUGUAGGUGGCCAACUAAGUCAGACGUGAAAUCCCUCGGCUUAACCGGGGAACUGCGUCUGAUACUGGAUGGCUUGAGUGUGGGAGAGGGAUGCGGAAUUCCAGGUGUAGCGGUGAAAUGCGUAGAUAUCAGGAAGAACACCCGUGGCGAAGGCGGCUCUCUGGGACGGUACUGACGCUGAGACGCGAAAGCGUGGGGAGCGAACAGG